rnacentral:tRNA from 1 species
AGGAUCAUAACUUAAAGGUAAAGUGUUUGGUUGAUAACCGAAAAAUAUUGGUUCAAUUCCAGUUGGUCCUA